CAUUAACUCACUCCGAAACGAUUAUCGUCGGAUAAUCGUUCCGAUUCGGGUUCCCGGAAGAGCCCAAUUCGACACCAGAACCCACCGUCGCUCAUCCGUCGUUUUCGAACCCUCGAAACAACGCGGUUGACGAGCCAACAAGGCUCAGCGACAUAACAAAGCUUUACGAAGCACCAUCGGAAGAAUUCCGAACCAAAAACGCGUUCCGUCGGCGGAUUUCGCCGAAAAACGCAUCGAAAAUCAAUAUUUGAUUUUCGGAAA
rnacentral:lncRNA from 1 species